rnacentral:rRNA from 1 species
CGAACGGGUGAGUAACACGUGAGCAACCUGCCCUAGGCUUUGGGAUAACCCUCGGAAACGGGGGCUAAUACCGAAUACGACCUUUGGACGCAUGUCUUUUGGUGGAAAGUUUUUCGGCCUGGGAUGGGCUCGCGGCCUAUCAGCUUGUUGGUGGGGUGAUGGCCUACCAAGGCGACGACGGGUAGCCGGCCUGAGAGGGCGACCGGCCACACUGGGACUGAGACACGGCCCAGACUCCUACGGGAGGCAGCAGUGGGGAAUAUUGCACAAUGGGCGGAAGCCUGAUGCAGCGACGCCGCGUGAGGGAUGACGGCCUUCGGGUUGUAAACCUCUUUCAGCAGGGACGAAGCGUAAGUGACGGUACCUGCAGAAGAAGCGCCGGCCAACUACGUGCCAGCAGCCGCGGUAAGACGUAGGGCGCGAGCGUUGUCCGGAUUUAUUGGGCGUAAAGAGCUCGUAGGCGGCUUGUCGCGUCGACUGUGAAAACCCGCAGCUCAACUGCGGGCCUGCAGUCGAUACGGGCAGGCUAGAGUUCGGUAGGGGAGACUGGAAUUCCUGGUGUAGCGGUGAAAUGCGCAGAUAUCAGGAGGAACACCGGUGGCGAAGGCGGGUCUCUGGGCCGAUACUGACGCUGAGGAGCGAAAGCGUGGGGAGCGAACAGGAUUAGAUACCCUGGUAGU